AUGCGAUCACUCUUAGGAAUCCUGUACUUGACCGUCUGACCGGUCAAACUACUCAUCAUAAUGGUCUUCGUAAUCAAAGUUAUUACAGGGCAACACACCAGACAACCCUAAUGUUAAGUGGUGAAGAUGAUAUGUCUAGCCCCACCAUUAACGUUCCAUCCAGUGAUAUCGUAUUAAUCGAGGAAGACAACCCUUACUCUAUGCCAUCCAACCGAAUACAAGGCUUGGAAAACAUUAGUGAUAAACCUCAAAGACAGCGAAACAGUACCAGUAGUGCCACAGACAUCACGUAUGCAAGCCAAUUAUCUCUAGAGGAAGCUGCUAAAGGUUUCUCAAGAGAUGCAUUUGGACGGCAAAGUAUGUCUGAAAACGUCACGCAACGCUAGAUGCCAAAAAUACCGACACAUACCAACGCAACAAGAAACUGCGUGAAGAAAGAGAGAAGGGUAAAUGGAAUGACUCAUCUGGCUCAAAUCACCGUAAGAAAUUGAUGAUGCAGGAAUUUAUUUUUCAUUUUCAUGAUGGAAUAACUGUCUUGAGUGAUGCUGAUCAUUUUCAUCCUAUCAAAAUAUUCUGCUAUUCAGUGCCUUGUCAAUGUUCCUAUUGAAUGCCAACAUUUUUACAAACCUUCUCCUUUGCAUUGCUGCAUUUAUUCAAGAUUUAAUCAAGAAUACUGCUUUAUUGGUCAAAAGAGCUGUCAGAGAGUUCAAUAUCAGUAGGGGACUGAUCUUAUAAUACCCAACUCCGGAAGGUGCUAUUUGGCACUAAAACAAGUUUCUGUCAAUACAAAAUCAGAGGGUAUCAUUUUUGAGUCAUUACAAAAUAUUCGGUUGCUUUUUUUUGGUGAAAUUUGGAGAGUUGAGGUUUGAAGAGAACCAAGAAUUGUGUAUUUAUCAUAAGGGACCUAAAUUUGCAUGACAGUUGCGUUGCGAGAAAGUGAGUAGUAAGAGCAAAAACUUGAAUAAAUUGGAUUGGGUAUUUUAUUGGCUGUCCCAAGGUUAUUGAGCGCAAAAUAGUCUGCAUUUUUAAGAAUUAAUUCUUGCCUGGAGACAUUAAAUGUAUUUUGACCUGAAUGAAACUAUCAUGGACUGAUUUUGUGGUUACUUUAUUUGACAUAAAUUGUAUAAAAAAAAUAAAAAGAAAUCAAUUACCAAUCUCUAUUACACUCUCAAAGUUGUCUGCUCUUUCCAAGAGCGUUUUUGAAUUUUUUCUGCUUUUGAAGAGUUCUAAAAUAAAAUAAGCCAAUUAAAUUACAAUCAUUCAACAUUCAUACAGCGGAUGAUGUUGCUGCUAAAACAAUCUUUUAUUUUGAUUGGAGGUGUUUCUUCCCAUUGCCUUGCUUCACCACUGUGCCACUGAUGCAUUCAUGUCUACAAGUUUGAAUAAUGUGCUGACGUAUCAGAAACUAUUUAGCCCUUUUUUAAUAUGUGACUUUCAAAGACAUAAGAGAUGAGAGAUUUUUAGGAUGACUCAAAGUAUUCCAAAUUUAUUUAUCAUGGACCUAUAUUUUGAAAAUAUUAUGCACACAAUACCAAGAAAUUCAGCGCAAGUUAAAGUUCGAUAUUAUGGUGUUCCUGACAACCUCCUGAGUGUGAUGAGCUUUUAAAAUUAAACUUUCUAUGUACUAAUCUCUAGAAAAGCGGAGUUGAAAAGUGAGUCUUUUGGUAUGUUAAACUUCUUACAACUACCAAGUAGAAAUUUUGUAAUAUCUUAUUGGUGAUUAAGGAGAGUUUUUUUUACCCAGUAGGUUGGGAAGAUAAGACAAAUGAAAAAAAUAAAAUUCUAUCAAAUUAUAACAUGCAGUGCUGACAGGGGGCAGACAAAUUCUCUUUUCAGCCCUGCUUUUCUCCUGAUUGGCACAUGGAAAGUUAGGUCAUAAACUCAUUGUCUUUAUAAUGUGGUGAGGAACAUCAUAUCAAAUACAUCGCAACAAAACUAUAUCGAAAUUUAACCAGCAUCUAAUUUCUUGGUAUUGUGUAUGUGGUCCUUUGCAGGGUGUCUAGCAUCAGGAAAAACCGGAGAAACCGGAAAAUAUCAGGAAUUUUUCUUACGCGAAUCUUCUCAGCGGAGGAAGUCUUACUGCUUUUUGCCUACCGUGCCAGUUGUCAAGAAAAAUCAGGACAAUAUCAGGAAUUUUCAAAAUGAAAGUAUCAAAAUUUUUCAAAAUUAAAAAAUACUAAAUACCCUGAUUUGGCAAAAUAAAGAUCUGAAAGAAUAUCUACAAUCUCUUACCAUAAGCCAAUAUUCCAAGAGUGAUCCGCAUACGUUUCAUUGCCUUUAUUUCUCUUAUAUUACUCAAAAAAGACCUUUAAAAUCCACCCAUCUCUGAGGGAGGUGAACCAGUGUAAUGUGAUGUUAUUUUUAUGUAUGAAAUUGCAUUGUUGAGGGAUAACUAAUUUAAUUUCUUGUUGUGUUUUGUUUAAAUUUACUAAUUCAUUACUUCAUGUGCUGAUGUUUCAUCCUUUUUCUAAUGCCUUCUUUCACUUGCAUUAACGCCUGUCAUUGCUUUUUAUUUUAUGCAUCAGGAGCAGUCUACCGAGUUAGUUCCGCUGAGUCGAUUCCGAGAUCAGAGCGUACGUAACUUCAUCUUUUAUCUAUCAUCUCUUUUCAUCUGUGUGCUUAUAUUCAAUGAGGGAAGCAUUUUUGAUUUCAAAACUUUUUUGAUGCUAUGUAUUUUGUUAAUGUAUCAUUCAAGCGUUCAGGGGUGCAGAAAGUUCUUAGCCUUCCUAUUUUAAAACCUUAUUUCCUCCAAAAUUAAAAAAGUUAUGACCUUCCCCCCCCCCCCCCCCCCCCAUUUCGUCUGUUGUGAUUGUGUAAAAAACUUGCCAAUUACUCUACAAUAUUCAAAUUCUCAACUAUAAAUAUGUGAAUUUCUCCGUAAAUCUACAUAAAGAAGAUUAUGCUAUUUUGAUGCUGUUAUAAGCUGCCCUUUCCAAGUUCUCAAGUUUCCCAUCUAUUUACGUGAGCUGCCACACGAUUACCCUUAUAUGAUCAGGAAAUUUUUGCACUCCUGAAAGCAGUGGUGGCAGAGUGAUUUUCUAUGCUGAAAAUUACACCUCUGCCCUUUUUUAAAUUUUAUAAUAAGAAGUCUAUUGUUGUGCUUUUUUAUGUUUUGGAAUCGUCCUGACAGCGUGAUGGCCCAAAGGUUUUUCUAUUUCUUUUAAGUUCCAUCUCUCCCUAACUUUUUAGUCUUUAUCAUGCAUGGAAACAAUAAUCAAACUUUUCCUUCAGAAAAUUCAAACCAAAAACGAUCAUUCAAAGAUUGCAUCCAAUUUUUAACAAAGGAAAUGCUACUCUUGCAUGCACAGCAAUAUUGAAUGGAUGUAUGUUAAUCCAUUUGGAAGGCCUGCUGAAGGAAUUAAAAGAGUUAUGAUUCGCUUUGUGUAUUGUUCAUAGCUCUGAAAGUUUUUGUCCCCACCUCCCCCUUUAAGUCUCUGUAAACUAAUGUUUGAAGAUGCAGCCAUAAAUUUUUUGUCCAGUGCAUCAAAUGCCGAAAAAACUUAUAAUUGAAAGGUAGAGUUAAGUGAAUGGCUUAGUAUUUGGUUUUAGAGUUUAUACUGAUUGUGAGUCAUUUCAACACACCUGUGUCUUAACACUGAAGCAAUGAAUCAGCCAGCCAUUUGACUCAGUCUCAGUUUUUGUCUUAUUGAAUGGAGCUUACAAAAAUACUUUUUCUCUCUUGAAAGUGAUGCUCGGGCUAUUUGUACUAGUAAAUUACAAAAUGUGCUGAAAAAGAAAAAUCACAGAAUAACGAAAUUGCAAACUAUUUUAGGAAGUUCUGAACAUGAGUAUUGAAUGACUUAUUUGGAAAACUGCUAAAACUUUCUUGGAAACUAAAAACACUUGGUUGUAACAAACAUUGUUUUUUGAAUGAAAAGCCUUCUAGAGUUUUGGAGCAUGUUCAUCAGAUACCAAAAAAAAGGAAUAGGCGUACCUUGCUGUUUUGUGAUUUGAGAUUCCGAAGUUGAAUUUUUAACUUCCAAGUUGAGUCGUUUUUGUAUCAAGGCAUUCAAAUAAGUUCAGCAUAUUAAGGAUAUGAAGCUGCGUCACGAAACGGCUUGAAUAAGAAUAAUUUAAAGUAUGCAUCAUUAAUUUAUUACUUGUCAGCUCUAGUAGCUGUGUAUCAGCGGUGAGAUUAUGAAAACACUUAUCUUGAUUACGAUUCUUCAAAAUUUCUAUUUCCACUUUGUGAAGUAACAUUUUGCUGAAAGGAGGUUUCUUCACUUUGUAAGAGUUAGUCUUUUCCUCCUUUCAUUUGCUGUGAGUUCAUCAUUCUUGCUCUGUAAUCCAGGAAUUCAGGCAGAAAGUAUUUAUAGUCUAUCAUUGCAAAGUUUGCCUGCCUAGUGGCACUAUGCCUCUAGGGCAAACAUCAACUUAAGACUUCUGAGUUUAUUGUCAUCAUAUUUUUGUUAUAGAUAAUGUAGAAUCAGUGCCAAAGAAAC
rnacentral:lncRNA from 1 species